rnacentral:rRNA from 1 species
AUUGAACGCUAGCGGCAGGCCUAACACAUGCAAGUCUAACGAGUGGCGGACGGGUGAGUAAUGUCUGGGAAACUGCCUGAUGGAGGGUGAUAACUACUGGAAACGGUAGCUAAUACCGCAUACCAUCAGAUGUGCCCAGAUGGUAUUAGCUUGUUGGUGGUGUAACGGCUCACCAAGGCGACGAUCCCUAGCUGGUCUGAGAGGAUGACAAGCCACACUGGAACAGAGACACGGUCCAGCGUCCUACUGGAGGCAGUAGUGGGGAAUAUUGCACAAUGGGCGCAAGCCUGAUGCAGCCAUGCCGCGUGUAUGAAGAAGGCCUUCGGGUUGGAAAGUACUUUCAGAGGGGAGGCGUUACCUGCAGAAGAAGCACCGGCUAACUCCGUGACAGCAGCCGCGGUAAUAC